CCCUUAGAUGUCCGGGGCCGCACGCGCGCUACACUGAAGGAAUCAGCGUGGCUUUCUCCCUGACCCGAAAGGGUUGGGAAACCCGUUGAAUCUCCUUCGUGAUAGGGAUUGGGGCUUGAAAUUGUUCCCCAUGAACGAGGAAUUCCCAGUAAGCGCGAGUCAUAAGCUCGCGUUGAUUACGUCCCUGCCCUUUGUACACACCGCCGUCGCUACUACCGAUUGAACGGUUUAGUGAGGGCCUCGGAUUGGUCUCGGCCCGCUCUUUACCGGGCGGCGCCGUUGGUCGAGAAGACGCUCGAACUUGAUCGUUUAGAGGAAGUAAAAGUCGUAACA
rnacentral:rRNA from 1 species